rnacentral:rRNA from 1 species
UACAGAGGUCCCAAGCGUUGUUCGGAUUCAUUGGGCGUAAAGGGUGCGUAGGCGGCGCGGUAAGUCGGGUGUGAAAUCUCGGAGCUUAACUCCGAAACUGCAUUCGAUACUGCCGUGCUUGAGGACUGGAGAGAAGACUGGAAUUUACGGUGUAGCGGUGAAAUGCGUAGAUAUCGGGAGGAACACCAAUGGCGAAGGCAGCUCGCUGGGACGUUACUGACGCUGAGACGCGAAAGCGUGGGGAGCAAACAGG